UUACUCUGGCUUCCCCGCACUACGUGUAAAUCUUUCGCCUUUUACUAAAGAUUUCCGUGCAGGGGAGCAAUUUAAUGAGUCUAAAUCCCAAUUGUUCCAGCCCUACUCUGUAGGGU
rnacentral:snRNA from 1 species